rnacentral:rRNA from 1 species
AUUGAACGCUGGCGGCAUGCUUUACACAUGCAAGUCGAACGGCAGCACGGGCUUCGGCCUGGUGGCGAGUGGCGAACGGGUGAGUAAUGCAUCGGAACGUGCCCAUGUUGUGGGGGAUAACUACGCGAAAGCGUGGCUAAUACCGCAUACGCCCUGAGGGGGAAAGCGGGGGAUUCUUCGGAACCUCGCGCAAUUGGAGCGGCCGAUGUCAGAUUAGCUUGUUGGUGAGGUAAAGGCUCACCAAGGCGACGAUCUGUAGCGGGUCUGAGAGGAUGAUCCGCCACACUGGGACUGAGACACGGCCCAGACUCCUACGGGAGGCAGCAGUGGGGAAUUUUGGACAAUGGGGGCAACCCUGAUCCAGCCAUGCCGCGUGAGUGAAGAAGGCCUUCGGGUUGUAAAGCUCUUUCAGCCGGGAAGAAAACGCACGCUCUAACAUAGCGUGUGGAUGACGGUACCGGACUAAGAAGCACCGGCUAACUACGUG